UUCAGAGGAACCUGUCCUAUAAUUGAUAGUCCACGAUUUAAUUUACUUAUUUUAUUAAUUUACAUAUCGCCGUAGUUUGAAUAUUUUUAAAGAAAAUAAAUAUUCAAAAUUUUACAUGUAAAAUUAAUUCAGGUCAAGGUGUAGUUUAUAGAUAAGAAGUGAUGGGUUACAAUAAAUUUAUUUAAACAGAUAAUUAUUUUGAAAAAUAAUUUGAAGGCGGAUUUGAAGGUAAUUUUUAUUAAAUAAUAAAUAUGAUUUUAGCUCUAAAAUAUGUACAUAUCGCCCGUCAUUUUCACUAUAAAGUGAAACAAGUCGUAACAUAGUAGGUGUACUGGAAAGUGUACCUAGAAAGGCAAAUUAGAGCUUGAUAUAAAGCAUUUUAGUUACAUUAAAAAGUUUAUUGUGAAAAUCAAUAUAAUUUGAGUAAAAUUUAUUAUUAAAAAUUUGAAUUUAAAAGACUAUUUUAAUAAAAUAAUUGAUUGUUUAAUUAUAUAAGUAGAAAAAAUUUUUUUAUUAUAGUAAAUUAGUAUUGUGAAAGAAUUAAUUAGAAUUUUUAAAAGAAUAAUUAAUUUUUAGUACCUUGUGCAUCAGGGUUAAUCGAAUAAAUACUAUAAAAUUAGUCCUCUCGAAUUUAAAAGAGCUAUAAAAUUAUAAUUUUUAUUGUAACAUAAAUAUUAAUAAUAAUUUUAUUGUAAUGAAAUGUUAUUCGUUUUUAAGUAUAUCUAGUUUUUUAGGAAAUAAAUUUAAUUUAGUCGAUAAAAAUAUUUAUUUAAAUUUUUAAUUAAAUAUUAUUAUUGUUUAAUAUUUUAAGGGAUGAGCUUUAAAAUAAAUUAUUAGAAAUUAUUAUAAAAUUUAGUUAAGUAGGAUUAAAAGUUUUUAUCUUUAAUAGUAUGUUAUAAUUAAUUUAAUAUAUUAUAAAAUUUAUAUUAAUUUUAAAUUUUUUAUUAAAAUAUUAGUUUUAUUUAUAUAUGUUAAGAAAUAAUGAUUAAAUUAGUAUAAUUUAUUGUAUUUUAUUAAUAAAUUAAGAUUAAGUAAAGGAAUUCGGCAAAGGAUUUUCACCUUCAAACCGGUGUGAGCCAGGUUGGUUUCUAUCUCGAAAUAGUUAAUAUAUUUUAGUACGAAAGGACCAAAUAUUUAGUAAAAAUUUUAAUUUAAGGAUAAUAUUAUUAUUUUGGCAGAAUAGUGCGAUAGAUUUAGAAUCUUUAUAUGUAGUUUUACAAAUAAUAUUGUUAUUUAAAGAUUUUAUAAUAAUGAUGAUUUCUAGUGUAAUUUUAGCUUUAAGAGUAAUACUGGGAGUAGCUUUUUUGACUUUAUUAGAACGAAAGAUUUUAGGAUAUAUUC
rnacentral:rRNA from 1 species